rnacentral:tRNA from 1 species
CAGGAUGGUAGUUUAUAAAAAUAUCGAUUUUGGAAAUCGACGAUUGGGACUUAGAUUCCCAUCUCCUGA